CGCGGGACAGUAACAGGAGAAUCAAGGCAAGAACUCAGAGGGGGAUAGCCAAGUGGAAGUCGGGAAUUGGACGAUGAGAACCACUGCUGAUUUGGAAAAUGAAGGGGACCACAUGGCAAGGAAUGUGGGCAGCCAAGGGAGCUGAGAGUGGCCCCAGCCAACAGUCAGCAGGAAACAGGGACGUCAAUCCUACAGCUGCACCUGCAAGCAACUGCAUUCGGCCAACAACCCGGAUAAGCGUGGAUGCAGACUCCUCCCCAGAUCCCCCAGAAGGAGCCCAGUCUGCCUGACACCCUGAUUUUCACCACGUGAGACCACGAGCAGAAGACCCACAAAGCAGUGCCUGGAUGUCUGACCUGCAGCACUUUGAACUUGCAACUGGGGUUGUGGUAAGCUAUUGAGUUGGUGGCGAUUUGUUAUGCCGAUAGAUAACUAAUACGGGUAUGCCUGCAGGUGGUCUCCGGGGGAUCUUUGAAGGUCAUGGCCAGUGGGGCCUUUCCUCAGGAGGUUCCUGAGGCUUGGGUUCCUCCUGGGAUGGGGGCAGGGGAGCCGGUUGCCUCUCCACCCAGACCUGCUUGGGUGCUGCAGAAUUAGCAGGUGCCACAGUGAGAGCAUGAGCUGUGGAGAGCAAGAGGGAGGCCUUGGUUCAAAUCACUGCCUUGCACCACCUCUCUGGGCCUCCCGUUCCCCAACAGUAAAGCAAGAUGGAUGCCAGCAAGUUGUGAGUGAGAGAGUGAACUAAGUGAUUCAUUAAAAAGUGCGUAGCUCAGUGCCUGGCACAGAGUACGUGUUUAAGAAGCCCUGGGUGGUGAUCAGAUGCUGAUCUCGACAUUGUGUUAUGAUUAUCACACACAUGACAGAGGGUGUCCAGGCCAAGCCCUAUAGCACUGAAAUAGGUACCUGCCUCUCUGCCUUGCUGGCUGGCACCCCAAGUAGGAAUUUCUCCCGCAAGGAGCAACACAGAAGGCUGGCUGGAGGCCCCUGCUGCUCCUGGGGCAGAGAGGGACCCUGUCCAUUCACACUGGUAGAGCCACCUACCAAGGUCCUCCAGAGCCUUGCAGAGGGGUUGAAGAAGGCAUUCCUUCAACAAUUGUAAAAGGUGCAUUUUAGAAACCAAGAGGGUCUUGCUUCUGUGAGUCGGGACUGAGGGUGAACUGGACACCUGGCCCUGUGCCAGCACUGUCAGAAACAAAAAGGAACCAAAUCCCUGUUUCCAUGCAUUCUGGGAGAGAGACUCAGAGACAA
rnacentral:lncRNA from 10 species